rnacentral:lncRNA from 1 species
UUUUAUCAUGUUUCAUGCACCAUGGUUGUGCAAUAGGAUGAUUGCAUUAGUUUCCACGAAUAUGCCGCAUUGCAUCGAUUGUUGUUGAUGUGGGUGAAUAUUGGAUGACCCAAUUAGUCCAUGACAGGAAGACCAAGACCCCAUGCUACGGCCUGGCACUAUGUAAGGAAAGACCAGGACCCCAUUCUACGGCCUGGCACGGUUAUGAGACUCGAAGACCAGGAGCCCAGAGGAGGCCCUGGGGAAAUGGUAAGUAAUGUAUGUUAUGACAGGAAGACCAGGACCCCAUUCUACGGCCUGGCACUAUGUUAACUUGGACUAAUUGGUGACAAGUUCACCCAACCCUUAUGUGAAUUGUCUGUGUUAUGAUGCAUUUCAUUGGAGCAUAGUGUUAAUAUGUUUUAUAGUCCUACUCACUGGGCU